UUGCUUCUUACUCCAUCAUUUCACCCAGCACUCCCAGCAAUUUCUGUCAUUAGCCACCUUUUGCAGCAGAGUUUACAUCUUGCACCUGGCGCUUUAAAAGCUGCAAAGUAUGUGCAGUGCAGCACUGAUCUCUUUCAUUAAGAAUUCAUUCAGUCAUGCUGAGGUGACAUGUUUUCAAUUGAUUCUGCUUCCUGUGCGGUCUUCUGGACUAACUGGUCUUCAGAUGUUGAAGCCCCUUCAUGCUGGAAUCCAGAACAACACACUGAGCGAUGGGCUGUGUACUUGGAACAACAAUCACGCAUGGCUUUGAAUUCAGGCUCACACAUUUUCUCCAGAUAAGUAAUUCUCUGACCCUACAACAGGGACAGAUAUUCUCUUUCGACUGCAUGCUAGGGAUUCUUCUACUGACACAUUAUUCUCUUGUGGACUUUUGACACAGUAACUUAUGGAUACACAUUGGAUCAUAGUUUUCUAAGCAUGCACAAUUUGUUGUAACGACUAUUUAAAUGCUUUGUGUGUUUUAUAUAUGGCUAUAUCACCUUUAAUACAUUCCACUUCUGCUGUAAUUAGCAUAUAACCAAUGAAUUAUGGUAAUUUCACUAAUGGGUUGGGCUUUAAAAUGCUGUUCACUAUACCGAUUUGUAUGCUUGAUAAAGGGGUUAUUUUGCCCCGAAACGUUGCACUACCACAAUAAAAAUUUGAA